rnacentral:rRNA from 1 species
GGACCUGACUGCUAUCGGAUUGCUACUAAGCCAUGCGAGUCAUUGUAGCAAUACAAGGCAGACGGCUCAGUAACGCGUAGUCAACCUACCCUAUGGACGGGAAUAACCUCGGGAAACUGAGUAUAAUGCCCGAUAGAACAUUAUGCCUGGAAUGGUUUAUGUUCCAAAUGAUUUAUCGCCGUAGGAUGGGACUGCGGCCUAUCAGUUUGUUGGUGAGGUAAUGGCCCACCAAGACUAUUACAGGUACGGGCUCUGAGAGGAGUGGCCCGGAGAUGGGUACUGAGACACGGACCCAGGCCCUAUGGGGCGCAGCAGGCGAGAAAACUUUGCAAUGUGCGAAAGCACGACAAGGUUAAUCCGAGUGGUUUCUGCUAAAGGAACCUUUUGUCAGUCCUAGAAACACUGAUGAAUAAGGGGUGGGCAAGUUCUGGUGU